CCUACGGGGAGCUGCAGUGAGGAAUAUUGGUCAAUGGACGAGAGUCUGAACCAGCCAAGUAGCGUGAAGGAUGACUGCCCUAUGGGUUGUAAACUUCUUUUAUAUGGGAAUAAAAUGUUCCACGUGUGGGAUUUUGUAUGUACCAUAUGAAUAAGGAUCGGCUAACUCCGUGCCAGCAGCCGCGGUAAUACGGAGGAUCCGAGCGUUAUCCGGAUUUAUUGGGUUUAAAGGGAGCGUAGGUGGAUUGUUAAGUCAGUUGUGAAAGUUUGCGGCUCAACCGUAAAAUUGCAGUUGAAACUGGCAGUCUUGAGUACAGUAGAGGUGGGCGGAAUUCGUGGUGUAGCGGUGAAAUGCUUAGAUAUCACGAAGAACUCCGAUUGCGAAGGCAGUUCACUGGACUGCAACUGACACUGAGGCUCGAAAGUGUGGGUAUCAAACAGGAUUAGAUACCCUUGUGUC
rnacentral:rRNA from 1 species